rnacentral:misc_RNA from 1 species
GAUGAAGAACGUAGCGAAAUGCGAUAAGUAAUGUGAAUUGCAGAAUUCAGUGAAUCAUCGAAUCUUUGAACGCACAUUGCGCCCGCCAGUAUUCUGGCGGGCAUGCCUGUUCGAGCGUCAUUUCAACCAUCAAGCCCCAGGCUUGUGUUGGGGACCUGCGGCUGCCGCAGGCCCUGAAAACCAGUGGCGGGCUCGCUGUCACACCGGGCGUAGUAGAUUUUAUCUCGCUCUGGGCGUGCUGCGGGUUCCGGCCGUUAAAAAACCCUUUUAACCCAAGGUUGACCUCGGAUCAGGUAGGAAUACCCGCUGAACUUAAGCAUAUCAAUAAGCGGGAGGA